UACGUAGGGUGCGAGCGUUAAUCGGAAUUACUGGGCGUAAAGCGUGCGCAGGCGGUUCGUUAAGUCAGAUGUGAAAGCCCCGGGCUCAACCUGGGAACUGCAUUUGAAACUGGCGGGCUUGAGUGUGGCAGAGGGGGGUGGAAUUCCGCGUGUAGCAGUGAAAUGCGUAGAGAUGCGGAGGAACACCGAUGGCGAAGGCGGCCUUCUGGACCAAUACUGACGCUCAUGCACGAAAGCGUGGGGAGCAAACAGG
rnacentral:rRNA from 1 species